CGGUGAAAUGCGUAGAGAUCUGGAGGAAUACCGGUGGCGAAGGCGGCCCCCUGGACGAAGACUGACGCUCAGGUGCGAAAGCGUGGGGGAGCCAAACCGGAUUAGAUACCCUGGGUAGUCCACGCCGUAAAACGAAUGUCGACUUUGGAAGGUUGUGCCCUUGAGGCGUGGCUUCCGGAGCUAACGCGUUAAGUCGACCGCCUGGGGAGUACGGCCGCAAGGUUAAAACUCAAAUGAAUUGACGGGGGCCCGCACAAGCGGUGGAGCAUGUGGUUUAAUUCGAUGCAACGCGAAGAACCUUACCUGGUCUUGACAUC
rnacentral:rRNA from 1 species